rnacentral:lncRNA from 1 species
GCCACUAAUCUUCACUUACUAGAAAACUCAUCGUUGGACUUCAUAGAAGAAUUAAGAAUUUAUCAUGGCUAUGACACAUUUAGACAAGCUCGGAUGUUAAAGAAAGAGGGGAAUAUAAUGUGUAUGCUAUAUGAUGAUAAAGGCAAGAUUCGGUUACCUAACCCGAACCUUGGCCUCUACGCUGUGCAAAACUUUUUGAUUGAGAUUGCAGCAACACCAGUGAACCAGAGAACUCCACAGCGAGUGGCAUCUGAAAGGAUAACCACUCACCGAGAACGCACUUGGUAUGGAGCUGACCCUGGACCAGAAGAAGCAGCGCACCUGCAUUAUUGCGAUUACAAUCCACGAGUCCUUCGAGACCCAUGGGCUCGUCAUGCGCAACCACAAGAGCCAACUGAGGAGACAUGGCCGGAGAGCCAAGAUCACCAGUGGACAAACCCGCCUUUUCAUACGGGCAGGUACUCCACUGAUCCAUAUGGAGCUUCAGGAUCCAGACCUCCACCCCAAUUUGAUGCAGGACGAUACUCCGACGCCUCCUACGCCUUCACGAAUGACUACUAUCAAGAGGCCGGUGCUUUCUUCACUCGUACCGACAACACCCUCCUCGACAUCCAGAAUACGCAAGCAGAACAUGGAAGACUCCUGGAAGAGCAACAAAAAUGGAACCAGGACCAUGCCGCUGCAGUAGAAGAGCUGAGACAAGAUACAACAACAAUGAACGACAACAUCACAACCAUGAUGCGGUUCUGGAACAUCGGGUAAGACCGACGUCAACAUCCAGCUUGGGGGAGUUCCUCCCAAAUUUAUCAAGUAAGUUUUUAUUUGCUGUUCUUAUUUAUUCUAUUAUGUCUUAGUAUUUAAUUUAUCUUAAAAGAAAAAACUUAGAAAACCAAAUAAAUAUUUUCUUGCUUUAAUUUACUGCAUUCUAUAAACAUGAAAACAAAAUAAAAAGAGUGUGUAGAUAAGUGUGCUUUAUUUUUCUGCUAAGUUUAAUCUCUAGAAAAAAUAAAAAGACCAAAAAUAUGCAUGAUGGAAAUGAUGAACAGUUGAUCUGUUUGCUUACUUACAAGUACCUAGCUUUUAUAUUAGAAUUCUUCCAGGAAUUACUAAAACUAAAAUUACUAUCUUUGGAAAGCAUAAAACUAAAGUCUAGGUAAGAUAAAGACAUGAUAUAAAGUUGAGCUACUGUUUAUCUUGUUCCUACUACACUAAGUUCUGGAGAUUUAUUUUGAAAACUUAUGAAGCACAUGAUGAGUUCCUAGCAUAACAAACUACUUACCACAGCCAUACUUGCUAUAACAUCUUUUACUACAUUUACAUUGAGUUUGAUCGAGCUGUGUCGACCCUUAGGAGCUUUUCAUGUGGUUAAAUUAAGAUAUUCACUUGCACACAUCUACCACAGCAUCCACCACCAUUCAUUAAAAUUGUUAAAAAUAUUAUCACUCACUGUCCCAAGUAUUGUUAUUCUCUCUCUCUAAAAAAUUCAAUGCAGAAGAGGCAUGGGUUAUGCAAAAAUAUACGAGGAAAUAAAAAGGGGCAAGUGCCCGGAAACCUCGGGAAAAGAAAGAAAAAGAGUGAGACGAGAGGUAAAAAUGGACAAGUGUCCGAAGUAGAAUUAGGGGUACAAAGAUGCCCACUUGAGCGGAAAAAAUGGACAAGUGUCCGACAAUAGAAUUAGGGGUAUCUACUACCCACCUAAAAAAAAGAGAAAAGAAAAGAAAAAGAUAGCCCAUGUUCUCCCAAGGCAAAGAUCAAAGAAGAGGAGAGAUAGCAAUAUAAGGAGCAAUGAGAACUAAGUUUUAUUAUCACUUAUGCAUUUUCACCAUCACUAUCAUUUACUCCACCACACAUGCACAUCUUGAUUUAAUUAUAUGCUGAGUUCCUUUGGAUCCAUGGCUCGAUUAGACAACAUUUGUAUGAGCUGUUUUUCACUCCUAUGAGCUCCACUUAAAUAUUCCAUUAGCUAUAGGUAAGUGACAUUAUGGUAAGGAUCCACAAAUACCACAUAUAGAGAGACUUGAGAGAAUCAUUGCUAGGAACUCUGAGUUUUAUUUUGAAAACUUAUGAAAAACUCUAGAACAAAGGUGAAGUAUAGACAGGAGGGAUAGUGCUUGACUUAACUAUUUUGUCUUUCGAUUACUUAAGACUUAAGUGCAGGUACUAAACUUCAUAAUACUUCACUUUAAUCUGGAAGAAUUUUUAUGUAGAAGCAUGUGUGCCUGUCAGGAAAGAAAACAUCGAAGCAACUCCUGAUCCGUCUGAGUUUAGCUAUUUGCUCAGGGACGAGCAAAGGGUAAGCUUGGGGGAGUUUGUUGACGGUCCUUAAGUACUAAAAUUAAUAAUCAAAUAAACAUGAAAAAGGAUCAAUAUGAAACAAACAUCUAGAAUUAGGGUUUUAUCUGACAAAAUUCCACGAGCUUUGGUGUUUAUCUAUUUCUGCAGGGGUUUAUCAGAAAAUAUGGAGAGAAGGCCCACAUGUCAUGUUUACAACGAGAUAAUUACGUGCUGCGCAAUUUUCCUCAAUCUAGAAGGAUCCAGAAGCCACGGGAACGAACGGGACGCGAAUCGGGCUCGGGAGCUGGGCGGCCGCCCACCCCCCUUGGGCGCCCGCCCUGGCCAGGAAGCCAAUCAGGACUCUGUUUCGGGGCAAGACUCCACCGACCUAAAGGAUCAAUCUAAACCAUACAAUCUAUGUCAGUUUGAUCCAAUGGCUCACGUUCACUUGAGGGGACUAUAAAACCCGACCCCCUGGCCCCUGGAGGAGAGGAGGAGAAAUCAUUAUUCAGAGGUAGCCAUCAAAGUUAGGGUUUAGAGCUUCUCUCCCACAGAGAAUUAGAAUUAGCUACUCCCUAAUCCUUCAAGUUUAGAGGUUUGAUUAGAUAGCAAUUAGAGAAGUAGAGCACUACGCUCUGGAUUCGGAUCUUCGGUAAUAAAGAUUGGUAUUAUUCAUAUCUUUCUCUAAUUCUAUUGUUCUAAUUACAUUAUGUCUCUAAUUAUUAUGUUCUUAGUUUGCUCUAGUUCUAUAUUUGAUAUAGUUAUGAUUGAUAAUGAGUUUAUGUAUAAGUUUGCAAAGCGCUUAGCUCUUGUCGCGAGGGAGUUAGGUGAUAGAUCACAUGUGAGCAUGGUGCUUAGAUGUUAUUUAUCUGCAAAUGUAUCCUAUUGGCUGGGUCGUGUGGUAGUUCGCGAUAGUGACAGCUUCGUUGAUUCUUAUAUAGUCCACCCUCCGUUGAUAGGACAGGCAGAACCGGUAUUGUGGAGUAAGUCAUGCGAUGUUCUGAUUUACUUUAUCAAUGUUCCUUAUACAUGAAUGAAGAGUCUUUUAUGCUAUACAUGAUCUUGUAGAUAACUAGAGUAGAUUAUGACUUAGUAGUUAGUAGAUGACUUAGAAUCCAUUCUCUAGCUAAUCCGACAUCACCUACAUAUAUGAGGAGUAGUCUAUUUUCUAAUCGCUGUGCUCUUUAUCCCAUGAACUUAUACUUUAUUAUCAAUUAUCUUUAUGGUUUACCCCCUGCUAAAGUAAGUGACUGUGUGACGAGUUUCUCAUUAGUAAUCAUAUUCUUGCAAGUUUAUCUCUAGUCUACGCCUUGAUAGAUUUUGCCCCUUUGAUUUAAUUCCAUCUUCUUAAGAUCCCCUAAGCAAAAUUAUAAAUAACGAUACCUGGAAUACUUAUCCUGGUGAAAUGCUACAAUGAGGUGUUUUAUCUGUGCGCUUGCGGAUAGAAUAGAUUAUUUUCUAGAGAGCCUUUACAUUUAUAAAUACCUUUGUACACUCUAGCGCCAUGCUAGGGAUGACAACCUAGUAUCUAAGUGGUGUUAGUUAGUGUCAACAACAAGGCGCUGCCGAUGGACCGACCAGGAAAUCCCGCACAGUGAAAUAUCUCUAGAUUAUGACCGCUUCCUGUCAAAUCACCUGCGCAAUCCCUUGAUUAUCGUGCGAACAGAUUCCAUAUCCACCUGAGUACUCUCGGAUUUCACGGAUACGGCGAAGAGAUAAGUCAGAUUUGCCCUUGCCCGUUUGGUCCUAUAAAUAGUUCCUUCUCGGGUACUCCUUCUCUAUCGCAUCAUUCUACAGCCCCAACUCCACUUUUCUAGCGGCGGCGCUGUUCGAGAGCUCCAAGAACUCCAACGAACCUCUCUCUUCAUCAACCUCAAAGUCUUCGAUCAUCUUUUUCGUGAGGAGAUGGCCAUCAACUUUGUUGUUCCCAAGGUCAGUUCAUCACCCUACCUCUUGUACUUUUACCAUAUCCUUGUUCAUCCGCAAUUUAUUUUACUGAACAUUCCCCUUUUUUUCUUUUGUUCUUCCUUUUUACCCCAAAAACCAUUAGGAUCUGUCCAAUAAAAUUGUCAUCCCUACCGAUCAGCCACACCUCCAAUGUCUUGGUCCGCUAGGGAACCCAGAUCCCACUGAUCUAAUCAACGCAGAAACAAAAGGAUCCCCUUUAGAGCCGAGAAUUUUUCCCUAGAUCUGUGGAAAGAUACCUUCCGUUCCUGGCCCAGUCCUACCGUGGGAUGGAAGGAUUGGUUCUUGAGAGUCAGCCAUUCGAAUGAGGUUCAGUGGGGUGAGCGAAAACUGGAUCAAUGCAUCAGGUUGUCCCUUGCCGAUAUGCAUAGGAAUGAGUCACUGCUGAUUGCUGCAUCAUAUUUCUGGUCAGACACACUUAAUGCCUUUGUCUUCGGUCAUGGCCCUGCUUCUCCCACUCUUGCCGAUGUGCUUAUGCUCACCGGCUUAGAUGUAUCCACUGCCGAUAGUAGCCACAUAUUUGAUACCACACCUAGUGCUAAGGUGGAAACCCGCACUAUCGGCGGCUGGUCUGGGUACAUUCAGAAGUACCGUAGGACGGGGCCUGUCAACAUAAAGGAACAAACCACCUUUCUGAACAUGUGGCUGGACAAAUUUGUGUUCUGCGGUCGAUCGGCAGGACCAACCUCUGUCUACCUAUCGGCAGUAGAGAGAUUAGCCAAUGGUGGCCGAUUUCCCCUCGGUCGAUACCUACUUGGCUCGGCUUACCACCUCCUCCAUCAAGUAGCCAGAAAACUCCUGCUCGGCGAACCCAUCGGCAACUUAGGGGGUCCCUGGUAGUUCAUCAAUAUGUGGCUUAGCCUCCAUAUGCAUAAGCGUCUUGAGUUCAACCUCUUCGCACAACGCUUCUCCAGGGACAUAGCCGAGGAUUAUGAAUCGGAUGAAGAAGAAUCGGCAACUCGUCCUCCUCUGAACUUUGACGAGGCUGUCAUAGUUCUGCCUGGCACAGGUGGCAACGCAGACCAGGUCAGCCGAUUCUUCCAGACCUUGUACGAAGGCCUGACCAGAGAACAGCGAGCAUGGAUGCCUUAUGAAGAUCUAGACACCAUAUUUCCCUUGGUCUUCCCUCCGUUCAAUGAUGCUCUCAACAAGGAUCACGAUGUGAUGAUUUCACUGAUCACUCCCAGAGCUAUACCAGUAAACUUCUUUGGCAGUGGGAAAGCCUCCAACCAGACCUAUGAGUUUUACAACCCAUCGGCAUUAGCCCGUCAACUAGCUUUCGGUCAGCUGCCGAUCGCACUCUGUUAUGCCGAUGUGAUAAAACCCAGGGAAACUAUCACCAGUCUUCUCGAGUGGACCAGGAUAGCUCAACUGCCACCGAGUGCCGAUACAGAUGCAGAUCUAUCAGAGUGGGUUCCGACUCUCUUCAUUACUCAGGCGUAUAAACAAUGGUGGGAGGAAUGGAAGGACCACUUAUUCUGCAAAUCAGCUCUUACGUACCGCGGUAUGAUCGAUCCUCAGUACCAAGUCCCUGAUAAUACUGUAAGUAUCUCAAUACCGAUGUUUUAAUUUCUUCACUGUCCUUUUCAAUCGGUAACCCCCUUUCUUUGUCAUACACAGGUUGAUGACACGCCACCAUCGGUCAGCAGGACUGGCAAGCCGAUUGAGCUUUUUCCAUCAGGUCUGAUCUCCUCAAUCGGCAACAAUGCUCCCACCUUGGCUUCCAUAAUGCAUCGAGGUGUGCGCCUCAAGAAAGUCACCACUAAGCGGACAAAGACAUCUCCAUCGGUAGCUGCCUCCACCUUAGCACAGGCCUUCAAGGUAACUGUUCAAACUCUUUCAUCCAUACCGAUUCCAUUCUUGCAUCUGUUGUAUUUGUACUCACAAAUUUUCAUUGUUGUACCAGCACACCAGCACAUCGACAAAGACCAGAAGUAUGACUGCCGAUGCCCCCCAGUCCAUUCAACAGAAGAGGAAAGGCUCCAAGAGCACCAGAUCACAAGCAAAGCGCCAGAGGACAGCAACACCUUCUCCUCCCCCAGUAUCACCGAUCCUGGUGGAAUCUUCUCCCUCUUCUCCAGAAACCCAGAUACAACAGGUAACACCUCCUUCUCAGCCACAAGAAGCACCCCAAGUGGAAGAACCCCAGCUAGAAGUAAUUCAGCCAGAAGACACAUCAGCUGACGUGCAUGAGCAAACUACCGAUCCAGCAAGUUCAAUUAUAGCAUCUGUAGUUUCUUCCAUCCAAACAAGUACUGCUCCCUCUCAAGGUAACACACUUUCUAUGAAAUCACUGCCGAUGAACCUACUUUCUUUGUCUUAUAAUUAUCUUUGUUAUUCUUUCAGCUGACAUAGUCCUAUCGGCAACCCCAGCCGAUCAGCCUGUGGUUCCAUCGGCAUCUUCUAGUCAGAGGCAAGAGAUUGCCCUGAAACAAGUAAGCCAUCCAAUCUCUAUCAGUAUUAUUUGUCAAUGCUUGACCAUAGAAUGACUCACUUCAUUUCUUUUUUAGGAACAGGACUCUCCCGAUAGCUUGUUCUCCUUUGCCAUCGACAUCUCUGAAGAUGAAGGCGCGGAGACAAGUUCUUCCCGAGCAGUCAGAAUUACAUCUGGCAGAAAAAUCCAGGGCCCAAGUUUCAGAAACCGACAUUCUCAUUUCCAGGGCCCCCCUAACGCUAUCCGGAUCAAGCAACAAUCAUGCAUGCCAAUUGGUUGAUGACUCCGACCCAGCCAAGGCUUUGUUCAAGACCCUCAGAGGCCAAAUUCCUGCCGAUGCUGAAGAAAUCCUUUUUCAAGCUGCACAUCUAGAGAGCCGUCAGCUGCAGUAUCAAAAGGCUACCCAGCGUCUUGCCGACAGAGCUGCUCAGACUCAACUUUCUGAGGAGAUGAUGAAAGUGAAGUUCCUUGCCGAUGAAAAGCACAAGAACAUCGGCAUCUUAAAGUCCUCAGGAGAUGCGUUGAAGCACAAGAACUCUGAUUUGUCGGCAAAAAGAGAAGCCCUGUUGGCAGAAUUCAAGCAAGUAGAAGAAGCCUUGUCCCAAGCUCAACAAGAGGAAAACCAGCUGCCUGAGGCGAUCAAACUCCUUGAACAAGAGCGAAAUGUCCAUGGCCAUAAAGUGCUGUAGAUGAAGAAGAAGUUGAAGCUGGUGGAAGGCUCUGCCGAUGAAGAUAUCAAAGAGAUAGAAGCAGCCAACCAAAUCCGCCUGCGCGCUAUAUCGGCGAUCCAGGCGCUGUUGAAUAUGUGAAUUCUUCAUCGGCGGCAUACUUGCUCUUUCCUUUUGAACACUCUUAAUAUUUUGGUCUAGCCGAUAGGAUUGUUAUCGGCACUUUAAAAACAUCAAGUCCGUCCCUAGAUACAUUUUGAUCCAGCCGAUAGGAAUGUUACCGGCACUUAAACUUUUAUGCAUCGACCCAUAUGCUUGGGUAAUACUUCUUUAGAUAUUUGCCAUUUAAUGCUCUGGGAAAUUCUACUCCUUCAAGAGUUUGUAAAAUAUAAGCGUUACGAGGAGCCGAUCGACUUAUCCGAUAGGGACCCUCCCAAUUGGGAGACCACUUCCCAAAUUUUGAACUUUUAGUCCCGAUCGGUAAGAUUAGUUUCCAUACUAAGUCUCCAUCGGCAAACUCCUUAGCUUUUACCUUCUUAUCGUACCAUCUGGCAACUCUCUUCUUAUUCUCUUCUAUACUCAUCAAAGCCCUUAGCCGACGCCCUGCUAGAUCAUCCAACUCGUCUGUCAUCAAAGUAGCAUAAUCAUCGGCAGCCAAUUGAUCUUGAAAAGAUAGUCGACUAGACCCAGUCUUAAUUUCCCAAGGUAACACUGCAUCAUGCCCAUAUACCAACUGAUAAGGUGAAACUUUGGUCGACCCAUGACAAGCCAUCCGGUAUGACCAUAAAGCUUCAUUUAACAACGCGUGCCACCUCUUAGGAUUUUCUUCAAUCUUUCGUUUAAUAAGCUUGAUAAUUCCUUUGUUAGACGCCUCGGCCUGCCCAUUGGCUUGAGCAUAAUAAGGAGAAGAAUUCAACACUUUAAUCCCCAUACCGAUUGCAAACUCAUCAAACUCCCCUGAUGUAAACAUAGUGCUCUGAUCGGUAGUAAUUAUUUGAGGAAUCCCAAAUCGGUAAAUAAUAUGCUCCUUCACAAAAUCAAUCAUAUUGGCCGAUGUGACUUUCUUCAAAGGAAUAGCCUCAACCCACUUAGUGAAAUAAUCGGUGGCAACCAGAAUAAACUUAUGCCCUUUGCUAGAUGGUGGAUAAAUCUGGCCGAUCAAAUCAAUAGCCCAUCCUCGGAAUGGCCAAGGCUUUAUGAUAGGAUUCAUAGCCGAUGCAGGUGCCCUUUGAAUAUUACCAAACUUCUGACAUCCCUGACACCCUUUGAAAUAUUUAAAGCAAUCCUCAAGUAUAGUCGGGCAAAAAUAUCCAUUCUUCCUAAUCAUCCAUUUCAUCUUAAAAGCCGACUGAUGUGCUCCACACACUCCUUCAUGGACUUCUCCCAUCAAACUUCUAGCUUCAUCAUCACCUAGGCAUCGGAGAAGAAUUCUGUUGACGGUCCUUAAGUAUCAAAUUUAAUUAUCAAAUAAAUAAAGAAAAGGAUCCAAAUGAAAUAAAGAUCUAGACUUAGGGUUUUAUCUGACAGAAUUCCACGAGUUUUGGUGUUUGUCUAUUUCUGCAGGGAGUUAUCAGGAAAUAUGGAAGAAAGGCCCACAUGUCAGGAUUACGUAAAGAUAUUAACGUGCUGCGCAAUUAUCUUACAUCUAGAAGACUCCAGAAGCCACGAGACCGAAGCGGAGGCGAAACGGGGCCAGACCCUGGGCGGCCGCCUAGUUGGUCAGGGCGCCCGCCCACCUCUGGAGUCCAAUCAGGACUCUGCUUUGCGGGAAGUCUCCACCGACCUAAAGGAUGAAUCUAAACCAUACAAUCUAUGUCGGUUUGAUCCAAGGGCUCAUAUUCACUUGAAGGGACUAUAAAACCAGACCCCAUGGCCCAUGGAGGAGAGAGCCUCUCAACCCUAAUUCAUUGUUCCAUCAAGGGAGAAGAAGCCUCUGAUCAAGAUUAGAUCCACCACAUCAAUUAGAUAUCUAGAUUAGCAUAGCUACAUAGGAUUAGAACUAGAAGGAGUUAAUCUUCGAUUGGUUUCCAGAUCUGUCAGGAGGAUUCUUGGUAAUUCUCUAAUUGUGCUUCUAAUUGCUUUCUAAUUAUCUUUGUUCUUCAAUAUUAUAAAUAUGACUUUGUUCUACUUCAAUAUAUUGCUUAUGACUUUGCUCUACUUGCUUAUAUUCAAGAUUAUAUUGUUCUUAGUUUAUCAUAGUUAUGUACUUGGCUUAGUUAGAUACGAUCUAUAUACAUGCUUAGGAUCGUAUAGCGUUUAUCCAUCGGAUCCAUGGGUAAAUGAUAGAUAUUGUGUAGGCGUGGUGCUUAUACCGUAUUUAUCUGCGAUUGUACCCAAUAUGCCAGAUCGUGGGGUAGUUCGUGAUAGUGACAGCUUCAUUGAUUCUUAUAUAGUCCCCCUCUCGUGUAUUGGGCUGGCAGAGCAACAUUAUUACAGGGGAGUGAUUGCUAUGUUUCUCAUAUUCCUUGCUAAUGUCACUAUGCAUGGGCGUAGUCUUGUCUCGCAAUGAUUGCUAAGUAUGCUUGCACUAACUAUGAUAUGCUAGACUAUAUAGUUAAGAAUAACAUAGGAAAUAUUCUUGUAGUUUGUUCUAAUACCAUGCUAAUGACUUUCUAGAGUAUCUAAUUGAGGUGCUUAUCAUAUUUAUUAUGUGGCUAGAUCAGAUUAGUUAUCCUUGUCACUAUUAUCAUUUCAUAUAUCUUUUAUGUGACACUUAUCCCUGUAUGAAGAGUUAGAUAUAAUGUUCUCAAUUAUACAUGCAAUGAUAGAUACUCAAUCUCAUAUUCGAUUCUAUAAUCAACAUUGAUGAUUGCUAAUCCCUUCCCAGUGGUAAAAAUAUAAAUAACGAUACAAGGAAUACUUCCCGGUUAAAAUGCUGCAUCGGUAUUAAUCUGUGCGCUUGGAGAUCCCAUUCAUUAUUUAUUUAGAAGAGCAAUUGCAUAUUUCAAUACCGCGUCUCUUAUAUCAUGCUGGGGAUGACAACUUGGCUUAAGUGGUGUAAGGGAUAGGUUUGGCAUUUUUGGCACCGUUGCUAGAUUUAGAACUUAGUCUACUUUUAGUAAUGAUGUUAAGAAUACCCAACAAAUUCCAUCAAUAGUUCGAUAAUACAAUUCAUCUUUGAGGAGCACAUACUUGGUUGCUUGAAAUCGAACUCGUCUUUCAACUUUCUUAGAUGGAUCUUUCAAAUAAUCAAUAAUUUCUUCCCUCCAAUCAUCGGCACUGACUGCCGAGACUGCAUUUAUCAUGGGCUGAUAUCCCGAGGCAUGCUGAGCCAACCGAUUGGCCUCUUCAUUAUGCAAUCGAGGAACAUGCUCUAAUCGGAAGUCCUUGAAUUCUUUUAACAGUUGCAUACUCCUUUCGUGCUAAGUUAUCAAGACUUCGCUUCAGCAUUCAUAGCUUCUAGCCAAUUGAUUUAUAACCAGCAUAGAAUCUCCAAAGAUUUCAACAGCAUCAGCAUGAACUUCCCUUAGUAAUUCCAACCCCUUUAUCAAAGCCUGAUACUCAGCUUGAUUAUUCGUUGACGUGGCAACAAUCGGCAAGGAAAGCUCGUACUUCCUUCCCCGAGGGGAAAUUAACACUAUGCCGAUUCCUGCCCCCCGGUCACACGUGGAUCCAUUAAAGAAGAGUGUCCAAGGUACAAUUUCCAAGGUUUCCACUGUACCGCAAUGUUGAGUUACAAAAUCGGCCAUAAUCUGUCUCUUAAUCGCUUUAGCCGAUUCGUAACGCAAGUCGAAUUCCGACAGUGCCAAAAUCCACUUACCGAUCCUGCCACUCAUGAUCGGCAUAGACAGCAUAUAUCAGACCACAUCAUCUUUGCAUAUGACAGUGCAUUCGGUCGAUAACAAAUAGUGUCUCAACUUAAUACAUGAGAAAUAAAGACACAAACAUAACUUUUCAAUGGCCGAGUACCUGGUCUCAGCAUCAAUCAAUCUCAUGCUUAAAUAGUAAAUCACACGCUCCUUUCCUUCAAAUUCUUGAAUUAAAGCCGAACCGAUGACCAUCCCAUCGGUAGACAAAUACAACCUGAAGGGCUUUCCUUGCUGAGGUGGAAUCAAAACUGGAGGGUUUACCAGAUAAUUCUUGAUUUCAUCUAAGGCCAAUUGCUGCUCUUUCCCCCAGACAAACUCUUGAUCGGCAUUCAACUUAAGUAAAGGACUGAAAGCACGAAUUUUACCAGAUAAAUUAGAUAUAAACCUCCUGAUAAAAUUUACCUUGCCCAUCAAGGAUUGGAGCUCAGUCUUGUUGGUAGGGGCAACUAUUUUGUUGAUAGCAUCAAUGGAUCUCCGACUAAUUUCAAUCCCCCUUUGAUGCACCAUGAAACCAAGAAAUUGUCCUGCCGAUACACCAAAUGCACACUUAUUGGGAUUCAUCUUUAAACCAUGCUUCCUUGUGCAUUCCAACACUUUUCGCAAAUCGACAAGAUGCUUUGUGAAGUCUCCAGACUUCAACACCACAUCAUCAAUAUAAAUUUCUACCAGCUUGCCGAUGAACUCAUGAAAUAUAAAAUUCAUAGCCCUGUGAUAAGUAGCACCAGCAUUUUUCAAACCAAAGGUCAUGACUAUCCAUUCAAACAACCCAACAUGACCAGGACAUCUAAAUGCAGUCUUUAGAAUAUCUUCCUCAGCCAUGAAUAUUUGAUUGUAUCCUGCAUUGCCAUCCAUAAAGCUGAUAAUCCGAUGCCCAGCCGCGGCAUCAACUAGCAAAUCGGCAACUAGCAUUGGGUAGCCAUCCAUCGGUGUAGCUUUAUUAAGAUUUCUGAAAUCAAUGCAGACCCGAAGUUUCCCAUUUUUCUUAUAAACCGGAACAACAUUGGAAAUCCACUCGGCAUACCGACAUUGCCGAAUAAAUUUAGCUUCAAUAAGUUUGGUUAUUUCGGCCUUAAUAUCAGGAAGAAUAUUCGGAUUACAUCGGCGAGCUGGCUGUUGAUGUGGUCGAAAUCUAGACUUGAUAGGCAACCGAUGUUCAACAAUUGAUCGGUCCAAACCAGGCAUCUUAGUAUAAUCCCAAGUAAAGCAAUCUUUAUAUUCCUUUAACAAAUCAGUUAACUGUUGCUUACACUCAGAAUUUAAUUUAGCACUAAUAAAAGUAGGUCUAGGCUUAUCACCACUACCUAUGUCUACUUUUACCAAAUCAUCGGCCGAUGUGAACCCCUGGCCUAUCUUUCCAUCAUCGGCGAACCUAUCCAUUCAAAACCUUCACCAGAACCGACUGCUUGGAUCGGUGGAAUUUCGUAAUCGGCAACUUUGAGAAAAUCCUUUUCCCAAACUUCUCCUGAAAUACACCUAGUUCUUUCGUAGGUGUCUGCCUCUGCCGAUGCAAUAACAUAGGAAGAAUCUCCCGGGACAAUCUCGAUCUUGUCACCUACCCACUGGACCAAGCACUGGUGCAUUGUAGACGGAAUGCAACAAUUGGCAUGAAUCCAAUCUCUUCCCAACAGCAAGUUAUAAGCACCUUUUCCACUGAUUACAAAGAAAGUUGUCGGUAAGGUCUUACUGCCGAUAGUCAACUCAACACAGAUAGCUCCCUUAACCGGAGACACAUUCCCUUCAAAGUCUUUUAGCAUCAUAUCGGUCUUGGUCAAAUCCUGAUCUCCUUUUCCAAGCUUCCGAUACACUGCAUAUGGCAUGAUAUUGAUAGCAGCCCCACCAUCAACUAAAAUCUUGGUCAUCGGCUGACCAUCCACUCUUCCUUUGACAAACAGAGCCUUAAGAUGUUGCCUUUCAUCAUCGGCAGGCUUUUCGAAGAUGGCUGUCAUCGGAUCCAGAGCGAACUGAGCUAUUUGGUCAGAAAACUCCAACUCAUCAUCACUGGACGAUGCAAGGAAUUCCAUCAGCAACAUAAAUACCAUGUUAACAUCUGCCGAUGGACCUUUUCCUUUAAGAUCUGAUUGUUGCUGACCCCCAAAUUGACCAGAGUUCUCACCCUUGCUUAGCUCUUCUCGUCUUUCGCGCUGCAAUCUUCUCUUCUAUGUCCUAGUCAACCCCUCUGGACACCAUGGAGGGAGUUGUUGCUGCCUUACCGAUGGGCGACGGUUUUCCCUUGACUCCAUCCAAUAAGUGUUAGCGUCCCUGCAAAAUAUGAACUAAUCGGGAACCCGGGCAUUAGCCAUUUCCUCAAGCUCUUCCUGAUUCCUAGGAAAAUAUUCAACUCGAUCUCCAAGCCUGUCAUGCACACUGAGUCUACCCCCCAGUCGAUCAUGAACCGAUGCUCUCCCCCUAAUCGGUCCAUCAAACCUGCGGUUAUUGUUCUGAUACUGCCGAUUUGAUCUGUCAUACCAAUCAUAACCAUUACAUUCUGGGCAGUCUCUGACAGUAGGAAGCUUGAUAUUUUCCUCCCAACAAUGAAUGAAGAACGGGCAAUUCCAGUGAUCCCUGUGCCGAUUCCACUCUUGUCGGCGUCUUUCUUCUUCCCGAUGAUAAUCUUCUUGCUGGCACCGAUACCGAUCCUCACGUUGCUACCAAGUCUCCCGAGGCCUUCUAUGAGUUAUGACAAUACUAGAUCGGGGAGGCCUUCUCGAGUUAGUUCCCUCCUGGAUCAAGCCUUUUCCUUUUGCAUCGGCAGUAGUGAUCUGAGGCUGAGGAUCCACCGAUGCACUUCUUUCAGCUGCUUCCGAUGUCAAGACCUUGGCCUUUCCCUUAGCAUCCAACAUGUUUGUUGGGAAAGGAUGUUGAUCAAUCUUCAUCGGCUUCUGAGUUUUGGAGCUAUCAAAUUUGAUCCUCCCAGAUUCUAUAGCCGAUUGCAGCUGCUGUCUAAAAACUUUGCACUCAUUGGUGCUGUGAGAAGUUGCAUUGUGCCAUUUGCAGUACUUCAUCUUUUUUAAUUCUUCAGCCGAUGGGAUCACAUGAUUGGGUGACAACUUGAUUUGCCCCUCCUAAAGUAGAAAGUCAAAUAUCCUAUCGGCUUUAGUGAUGUCAAAUGCGAACUUCUCUGGCUCUUUAUGCCCAAAGGGGCAAGACAUCGGCUUCUUAUUCUUUACCCAUUCUGCCAAGUCGAUGACUGGCUCCUCAUCAGAGUCUGAGCUUGCUGCCUCGUCCACAAAUGAUACCUUUUUGUUCCAUGCUCUCUUGGGCUCAAAAGGCCUGAUAUCCUGAUCAGAAAUUCUCUGCACCAAAUGACUUAAGCUUUCGAACUCUUGAGAUGCAUACUUGUCCCUGAUAUGCGGCAACAAACCUUGGAAAGCCAAAUCGGAUAGCUGCCGAUCAUCCAAAACCAGACUAUAGCAUUUGUUCUUGACCUCACGUAUUCUCUGCACAAAACUUUCAACCGAUUCAUCAUUGCGUUGCUUCAAUUUGACCAAAUCGGUGAUCUUCUUCUCAUGGACUCCAGAAAAGAAGUAUUUGUGGAAUUGUUUCUCUAGAUCGGCCCAAGUAAUCAGUGAGUUAGGAGGUAAUGAUAUAAACCAAGUGAAAACCGAUCCAGAUAAUGAUGACGAGAACAAGCGAACCCUUAACUCAUCCCUGUUAGCAGCUUCUCCACACUAAAUGAUGAACCUGUUGACGUGCUCCAUGGUCGAUGUAUCAUCCUGCCCAGAAAACUUAGUAAAAUCCGGCACUUUGUACCGAUUCGCAAGCAGGAUUAAAUCAUAUGCAGGAGGAUACAGUGUCCGAUAAGAGUAAGUGUUGACUUUGGGUUUUAUCCCAAAUUGGUCUCUCAUUACUUCAGCAAUCUUAUCGACCCAAUAAGCAUCGGCAUCUUGCCGAUGAGGCGGUUGUGGAUCUGGGAUCUGCUGAUAUGCUUCCACGUGUCUAUGUGGUGCGCGAUCUGCAUGGAACAUUGGAUUAAUCAUCUGGCCACCAACCUGCUGACCACCGAUCUGCUGACCACCAAUCUGCUGCCCAAGAUUCAUUGGCUGGUUGGGCAACCCUUGAUUCUGGAACCCAGGGUAGAUCUGGCCUUGCUGAAACCCUGUAGUUUGAUGAUGCUGUUGGGGCAUUUGUGGAAAGACUUGCUGCUUAGGCCAUCCACUAUUAGCAUUCAUCGGCAUAGGACCAGCCGAUGACUGGUAAUUGGGCAUCAUCAUCGAAUUGACAUACCCUGGCUGAGUCAUAAACCUCUGUUGCGUCAGCAUUGAAUCUGCCGAUGCAUUAGGCAUCUGGAACGUUGGAGCUUGAGAAUUCCCAGUGUAAGGCCUUGCGGUAGUGGUUGUAGUAUACUGGGACUCUGAUUCAUCGGCAUAUUUGGAGGUGCCGAUGCCAUAUGAGCCUUGCCUCUCACAUCAGCCGUCUGAGAUAUACCAGGUGUCUUCAACGUCAACUCUAGAGGCAUACCAUAACCCCACCAGUUAGGAGGAGGGACCGAUCCCGACAUUGCCGAUGCCAAUAGAUCUGUAGCAAGCUUAAUCUGCCCAUCUGAAGUCGAUGGAUUGGUUGUCAUCGGCAUAGAUUGUGCAUUAGUGACUCCUAACGUGCUUGGAGGAACAGUAGUUUCUGUACCCGCAGCGGCUGUAGCAGCCGAUGGAGCUGUAACCACCGGUGAUCCUGGCUGAUGAUGAGACGGGCCCACAUAAUUUGGUGGCAAUUGUCCUUCUUUGAAAGUUCUAGCCAUGGCAUUAAAAACCGUAUUGGACAACACAACAGCUUGAUUGAUCAAGGCACGGUUAAUAGUAUUAUCAACCAUGUCUUGAAGUUUACCAGGAUUGGCUUCAAAAGUAACCUGCCGAGGCAUCGGCAGUGCUUCCUUCUGGAUCACCUCGCCGCUCCUAUUUAUGCUGAAGGCCUUGAGACAUUGUUGCUUGUAAUCCUCCAUAGCCUUCGCAAUAGCUUGCUUCUGCUCAUCUUUGAGGCUAGCUUCUGUCACGGGGAUGACGUUCUCCAAGUCGAACUCGGUAGUCGACAUGGUGAUCUUGAUCUUGAAUAAAGUCCCACUGGGCGUGCCAAAAGAUGUGUUGAUGCAAAAGCUAGAUCUGCAAACACAAAGGGCUAAUACCUGAUUCAAACGUUAAGGCGUGGUAGCCGAUUUGACCUUACUAUCGGCAAAGGUGAUAACUUCAAUACUUUGGUCCCGACAACAGCGAUGCGCCCGGAUGCCACGGCUAAGAGGUAUUCACGCGGAACUCGAGAAUACGCCGAGCUUAAGUCGACGAACUUCUAAGAACACGUAAUGAAAAGGAAAAUAUGACGAAGUCGUCGAAAAAGUAGAUGCUGGAAUAUGAGUAAAAACUUGUGUUUGAUUGAUUGAUAGAUAUCUCGAUUACAAGGCCUUAGGGUCUACAUUUAUACCCUGCUCAAAGAGCUACAAUCAGACACGGCUAGAACUUUGAAUUCCAAAUUAAACAGAAUCCGUAUACAAAAUGAUUUAAAUAACUAAGGAAAACAUAAAACUAUCCUCCCGUGACAAACUAGGACACCACCACAGGCAAAUCGGCAACCUUCAGGUUCCUCUUCCGAAUCAUCGGCAAACCCCUCAUCGUAGCCAUCAGCACAGGUUAACGCUGACCACCGGCAUAAACAUAUCACCACCCAUAGACUUAGUCACAUUCAGCGGUCCAUUCAUCGGCAACCACCCUCAUCGGCAACUCUCCUGCAGAUCAGUUACUGUUGCCCUAUCUUGCCGAUCUACAUUCUACCGAUCCUGGGUACGUGUCCAAAAACGGUGUCAACACCAGCAGACUUCGUGGUAAUAGAGACCGGUAAUGAUGAGAGGGCACCCAUCAUCUUAGAGAGGCCAUUCUUAAACACCUCGGGAGCUGUCAUCUAUGCUAGUGCUGCCAAGAUCAGUUUAUACAUCAAAGGGAAGAAGGAGACGUUUUCCUUCAAGAACAAGACUACACAAAUCCCAGAUCAAUCCAGACGUGAAUCAAGGAAGAGGACCAACAGGAGGAACAGGAACAAGCAAGUGUGGACCAAGUCAGCUAAGAUGGUCACUACAGUUCAUGGAGGUCAAGAUCAUCGACUUAAGUCACUGUUUUUGACCAAGAAGGAUGACCCAGGAAUGCCAAGCAUCUAUUGCUCCAUAAAUGGAUACAACUUCUACAAGACGACUUGCGACACCGGAUCAGGCGUCAACAUAAUGGCCGCAGUCACCUAUCGGCUCUUGUUCGGAACCAUGCCCCUAAAACCAACAUACAUUCAGCUCCAGAUGGCAGAUCAGACAUUUCGAGAGGUUAAAGGAAUAGUAACUGAUGUCCCUGUCAAAAUAGACGAUCAUUUUGUCUACACAGACUUUCAGGUUAUUGACAUGGGAGAAGACGAAUACGAUCCACCCAUCAUCCUUUGAAGACCGUUCCUCAGCACCGUUAAAGCAAUCAUCUACAUUGGAACUGGAGAAGUCCAUAUGCACUUCCCCUUAGAGAAGGUAUGCCGCUAUUUUACUGACCCUAACUAUAUCGUUGAAGACUCUAAGCAGGUCAGAAAACGACGCAACCACAACCAGAGGAGGGAAAUCAUCAAGGACGGAUGGGCAGACUACGAAGGAGAAGUUAUAAGGUCAGAAGACAUACAGUUUAAACAAAAUUAUCCAGAGGAGACCGUAGCACCGAGUCAGGUGUGAAAAGAGAAGAUAACCAUACAUGAAGAGGAGGCGCCGCCGGAAGUACCGACUCCGCCACCCAACAAAUCCCAGGACAAUUGAGAAAACGGAGAGUCCCGUUCAGAGGACUUAAAAACACUGAACGCCUUGUCAAGAGAUAAACUUGGUAGUUAUCCUUUUCCCUUUCAAUUAUUUAAAAUAGUUUGCUUAGUUAAUCAUGUUCAGACUAUCCUAAAAAGAAAAUAAAAAUGUUAAAAAACAGUAAGCCCCAUGUGAGUAUAUGAGUGGCAUGAAACCCCUAAGUACAUUCACUGUGGUGGCAUAAAAAUAAAAUAAAUAUUUCUUUUCUGCUUUAUAAAACAAAAAUAUAAAAAAAUAGGGAGUAAUAUUUAUUAAGGAGUCUCAACAUGAUAAAGGCUAGAUAUUUAUACUAACACUUAAUCAGUUCCACAAAGCUUUGUUGUCUAUUUGAGCUCCGUGGAAUUUAAGAAUCGAGAAGACUAGCAGACGGAGGACAUUCUAAUCGCUGUCAAGAUGCUGCUGACUUUCAAAUACACCUCUGCCACCUGCUAGCUACAUCAAGAGAAAUUACGUCAAAAUUCAGCUUGGGGGAGAGCACCCCCAUUUAUCCCGUUAAGUAUUUCUAUCUAUCUUUAUACUUAUACUAUAUUAAAAUAUAGAUAUAAAUAACUAUGGAAAACCAAAUAAAGAUUUUAUGCUUAUAUAUAUAUAUCUUUUGCUUAGUUUAAUAAAUAAAUAAAGUGGCUAUGCUAAUCUGAAUCUUAAUAAUAAAACUCUAUCAUGGAUAUGAUGAAUAGUUGCUCUGCCUAAUUUUUAAAAUUUGAAGUUCUCUCUCAAGUUUAGACAUAACUGUUAUAAUUUAAAGCUUGCUCUAAACCUAAACUUGUGGGAAGAAAACUUGAUCUGAAGUCUAAGUUGUUAACGGAUAUGAUAUGGGAAGGUUGAGCUGCUGUUUAUCUGUUCCUAGAGAUGCUAGACUUCUGGAGAAUUUUAUUUUUGAAAUCUUGAAAAUAUUGCAUGAUGAGUUCCUGUAUGAUGAGAGUUUAAAUUCCUACCACAGCCAUAUAUACAUGCUUGCUAGACUUUGAGCCACACAUUUACUUACUGCUUAUGAGCAUUGAGUGUGGUCAAGCAGCGUAGACCCUUAGGAGCUUGUCAUGUGGUUAAAAUCAAGAUUCACUUGCACGUUCACUCACACAUCUUGCUUCUACUCCGGAAGUACCAUCCACAUAUAUCCACCAAUUUCCAUCUCCAGAACCACCCAAAAACAUUCUACUCCUAAUCCGGGAAAGAAUGACCAAAAACAUUUAUGUUUUUCCUCUGUGAAAUAAAUGCUCAAGUUAUCUUGUUACUACCACUUGCUAUAUUAUCUCAAAAGAUGAGUGCUCUAAAAAAAGAGAGAAAAGAAAAAAAAGAGAUACGAGGAAAUAAAAAGGGACAAGUGCCCGGAACCUCGAAACAAAAGAAAAAGUGAGACGAGAGGUAAAAAUGGACAAGUGUCUGACAGUAGAAUUAGGGGUAAAGAUAUCCACCUAAGAGGAAAGAAAAAAGAAAAUAUAUAUUGCAUCUCAUUCUCCUCACAAAGUUUCAAAAAGCAAGAAAGGUAUGCAUCCCCUCAAAGAGCAAAAGUAGAAUUAGACUUUCACCAUUGUUAUCACCAUUAUCAUUACCAUACGCCAUUCAUUCGCCACACAUGCACAUCUUGAUUUGACUUAUUGAUUUGUUUCUUUGGAUCCAUGGUUUGACUAUACAAUAAAUGUCUUGUGAGUAUGUAUAUUUUAUCUCCCACCUAUGAGCUCCAGAUAUUAAAGCCUUAUUAGAGUAGGGUGAGAGAGAAGGCAAUGUCACUAUGCCCUAUACCACAAAUACUACAUAUCUUGAGAGAAGCCAUAUACCAUCACUGCCUUGGUAAGGAUCCAGAAAUACCACAAAAGAGAGAUCUGAGAGAGUCAUACAAGGAAUCUCUGAGUUUUAUUUGAAAAUCUGAAAAAACUCUAGAGCUAUAGCUGAUCAAGAAUAAGAGACAUGGCACUUGACUAGACUGUUCUAUCUUUUAACUACUCAAGAUAGAAGUGACGGUUACAAGUCCAAUGGUGAAAGGUAUUGCAACAACUUCUGAUCCAUUACUGAGUCUAUCCUUGCUUAGGGACGAGCAAGAGGUAAGCUUGGGGGAGUUUGUUGACGGUCCUUAAGUAUCAAAUUUAAUUAUCAAAUAAACAAAGAAAAGGAUCCAAAUGAAAUCAACAUCCAGACUUAGGGUUUUAUCUGACAGAAUUCCACGAGUUUUGGUGUUUGUCUAUUUCUGCAGGGGGUUAUCAGGAAAUAUGGAAGAAAGGCCCACACGUCGGGAUUACAUAGAGAUAUCAACGUGCCGCGCAAUUAUCUUACAUCUAGAAGAUUCCAGAAGCCACGGGAAGGAAGCGGAGGCCGAACGGGGCCUGGCCCUGGGCGCCCGACACCUCCUGGAGUCCAAACAGGACUCUCUUUCGGGAUUGAUCUCCACCGACCUAAAGGAUCAAGGAUAACCGUUCAAUCAAUGUCGGUUUGAUCCGACGGCCCAUAUUCACUUGGAAGGACUAUAAAACCAGACCCCCUGGCCCCUGGAGGAGAGAGCCUCUCAACCCUAAUUCAUUAUUCUCAAGGGAGAAGAAGCCUCUGAUCAAGUGCCAUGUCUCUUAUUACAUGGGAGUGAUUACGAUGUUUCUCAUAUUCCUUGCUAAUAUCACUAUGCAUGGGCGUAGUCUUGUCUCGCAAUGAUUGCUAGGUAUACUUGCACUAACUAUGAUAUGCUAGACUAUAUAGUUGAGAAUAACUUAGGAAAUAUUCUUGUAGUUCGUUCUAAUACCAUGCUAAUGACUUGGUAGAAUAUCUAAUUGAGGUGAUUAUCAUAUUUAUAUGUGGCUAAGUUAUGCUGAUCAGAUUAAUUAUCUUUGUUACCAUUCAUUACUUUAUAUAUCCUUUAUGUGACACUUACCCCU